GCCAGACGCACCUGGACACAAGAGGAAACGACCCGGCCGCCACCAUCACCGGAGGUGACGCCACCGGACCAGACCCGCGGGCAACCUCAAUAAAAAAAUGUUUAAUAAAAUAUUUAAAACCGA